rnacentral:rRNA from 1 species
GACGAACGCUGGCGGCGUGCUUAACACAUGCAAGUCGAACGGAAAGGCCCUGCUUUUGUGGGGUGCUUGAGUGGCGAACGGGUGAGUAACACGCGAGUAACCUGCCCUUGACUUUGGGAUAACUUCAGGAAACUGGGGCUAAUACCGGAUAGGAGCUCCUGCUGCAUGGUGGGGGUUGGAAAGUUUCGGCGGUUGGGGAUGGACUCGCGGCUUAUCAGCUUGUUGGUGGGGUAGUGGCUUACCAAGGCUUUGACGGGUAGCCGGCCUGAGAGGGUGACCGGCCACAUUGGGACUGAGAUACGGCCCAGACUCCUACGGGAGGCAGCAGUGGGGAAUAUUGCACAAUGGGCGGAAGCCUGAUGCAGCAACGCCGCGUGCGGGAUGACGGCCUUCGGGUUGUAAACCGCUUUCGCCUGUGACGAAGCGUGAGUGACGGUAAUGGGUAAAGAAGCACCGGCUAACUACGUG